GCAACAGCAGUGGAGACUGCUCAGGUCAGGGAAAGAUGGAAUCGCUCGCCUGGCUCAUUCCUGUACAUUUGUCCCAACAAAACGUGACACCCAGAGAUAUGAAAGCUGCCAACUUUUCUUUGUAAAUGUUUCUACUUGAGAAGACAAUAUUUUAUUCACCACGAAGCCUUCUGGAAACACUGUUCCUUGGAAGGACCAGUAGCGUUCAGAAGAGUUUGGGGACCUGAUGAGAUUUUCCAAGCAAAACUGGCAGGUUACCCAGUCAUCUGCCCUGGAGCUUCCAUCUUUCCCGGUGGAAAAAGCUGAGCAGCAAACUUAAAGAAAGUCAAAAGUGGCUCCCAGACCGGAGCAAUUUAAUCUUACACCAAAAAAUCCAAGGACAAAGCAACGAAGGACAACUGGCUCUCCCAGGAAUAAAAGCCUCUUCCAGCAGGAAUGGAGGGCAUACUCAAAUGUGGUGCUCAGGGCUGCCAAGGGGAACAGGGACGAUGAGGCAGAAGCCACAACAAAGAAAAGCAGAGAGCUCGGGAGGAAACACAGAGAGAGGAGAGGAAGCGGCCGCUGCGUGGGGUUGGAAGCGGCGAGAGGGCUUGCCGGGAUCUCUGGACCUGAUAAGCAUCCAGGCCCGAGAUGACCACGGGGCGCUGGCUCAGGUGAGGACAGUGGAGGGAGAGAGAGGGGAGACAGCCUCACAGUGCGUUCUGGAGAACAGGCAGACCUGGCCACGGAUUAGAAGUGGCAGGGAAAGGAAAGAGAAAAACAAAGGUUGAUUUGAGGGACUAAGUAGGUCGAAGAUUAGGAGAAGGAGGAAAUCCAGCACUCUUGAAAAUAAACCCUUUGAGACUGUCUGUCUACUAAGAUCUACCGAUUACUGUAUCUCAAAGAACCUACUGGACCUGCGCCACCUGUCUUCCCUCUGCCACUUCCUCAAGGACCCCAAGUUUUACAGCAAAAGCUCCUGAACAUGACAGAGUCGAGGUGCUCUGGCUUGAGGUUUGGUAUCACUGGUUCCUCCAGAGCUGAGGUAGGUAAACUUUUUCUAAAAGGGCCAGAGGCGUGGGCUGGAGUUGUAGCUCCAUGGGAGAGCGCUUGCCUCGCACGUGUGAGGCACUGGGUUCCAUUCUCAGCGACCGCAUGUAAAUAAAUAAAAUAAAGUUCCACUGACAUACAUACAUACAUACAUCAUACAUACAUACAUACAUACAUACAUAAAAGGGUCAGAGGCACAAUUUCAGUCUUUGUAGGUCACAAAGUCUGUUAUGACCACCGCACCACAAAAGCAAGCAGACUCCUAAACCAAGAAACAUGGCUGUGCCCCAAGGAAGACUUAUUUACAACAACAUAGCUCGGGAUUCCCUGGGCUGCCAGCAGGUGCCAUGCUAGUGCCCAGGGUCCAGACUCAAGGUAGUUUGGGAACCCAAGGAACCAAGUAAGAGAUUCCAGAGGUUAAGAGACUGGGGCUAGGUCCUGCGGGAUUAGGGAGGUGCUGUUGAUGAAGAUGUAAGUCAAGUGCUCCAAGGUAAGAAAGGGGACACCAUGGGGAGGACAGACUGAGUGAUUCAGUUUAUCAGUGAAACGAACACCACAUGUGACUGUUUGGGCUGCACCCGCCAUCACUGCCCUGGGAAGGCAUGCAGUUUACUUUCCUUCCCCGGGUUCAUAAGUCAGGUGGUCAGACUAAAUCACCAUUCUACGUCCAUCAUGCCAUGCCUGUGGAUGUGCAGUACAUGGGUCAUCAGCAACACUGCCAUAUUCCUGGGACAGGACCCCACAUCUGUAAAGUCAUGAGAAGCACAUCAUUAUGCUUUCCAGGGGUAGCCCUUCCUUGAGUUGACCCAGACACUGGAGUCAGAAAGACGCAAAUCCAAGUCUUCUUUCAACUUCCAACCAACCUGUGUGACCUCUGGCAAAGGAUUUAACUGCUCUGAACUCCAGUUUCCUCAUCUAAAAACUGGGAGUGACAUAACACCUGCUUCACAGGAGUGUGAUGUGUCUUAGACGCUCUGAAGACGGAAAUGACAAUCAACGUGUCACUUGUGUGAUGUUCAGAAACCUGUGCUCUGUGAUGAUGCGAAGACCCCCCAGCUCCCUCAAAAGCACCCCUGGGUCCUCUGAAUGUCACUCUGUUCUCUGAGUGUGGAGGACAUGGGGCCCCUGGUGGGGUGGCUGUGUGUGUGUUUCAAUCUAAGCAGGAACAAUCAAUAAUCUCCUUGUAUUAACACCUAAAUAAAACCAAAAUAAUCC